GCCCUGUUGAACCCCUCACAUUUCUGUGUUGAAGUGUUGCUUGUCACACUCAUAAUGGCACAGUCACUGAGUCUUAUCUCAAGAAUUGCUGACAACAGCUCACGGUCAUUUUUGUUCAGUUGCAGGUGAUGAAUUCCAUGCAUUGGUAGAAACUUAGAAUGGUACCACCAGUCACCAACACUCCCUAGACCAGAGCAAACUAUUGAGUCGUAUGGACAGAAGCUGCUGUUUCCAGUGUAGCACUGUAUAGUAGCUGCUCUUAUUGCCGAUACGGCAGUUGUGGUCGAAGCUCGGGUUUCUUUGGGAAGCCCCUAUCCACCUGGUCUUCAUUUACAGUUGAACUACAUCUAGGAUUGGUUGCAGCCUUUGAAGGAAGAAGGUAAGCAGGACUAUAUUCCUGUGCGGAUAGAUUAAAAAACUACUCCAGACUGGUAGACAUGACAGAUGUUUAUUGGAAAUAUGAACAUGGACUUAAAACUUUGAUGUGUAGCAAAAAAAUUCAUCGUUGAUGAUAGUGAUUUUCUAAGCUAUAUUGACUGGAACAGGGUUGUUCUUUACAAAUACAGAGCUGUCAAUGCUGCAAUUUUGUUGUGAAAGUCACAAUCCAUUUCAGAAGGUGCGUGUUUUACUAUACAGCAAAGAAGAAGAAAUUGUACUGGGCCGACACCUUAUGAGACAGCAUUUAUGUUUGUUGUACUCGAUUACAAAAAUAAUGUGCUUGAUUUACGAAAAGAUUGGAUUACGCACUUAAAUCCAGUAAACUACUGUAAGUGUACUUAUAUUAGCGCGGCUAAAUUUUAGUGCAAAUGCCUUAAAUUCAGUAGUUUGACUUUUUAACGCAUACUUGUAUUAGUGCAGUAUCACCGGCGCUAAUAUAGCCAAUUGGUGGCUGAAUGUUAUUCGUAAUGAAAACGACCAGGCACGCAAAUAAACAUGCAUAGGUCUACAGUAUGGCAUAAAAUCUACAUUCGUUUAGAUCAGUGUUUAUCUGUAUACUGUGAAUUUGUACAUGUAUACAGUGCAGAAUUGCAAUAAUUGUUUGUUUUCAAAUUUACACCUGGUUUUCAAAGCAGUAAAAUGUUAUGCUGACACUUGUAACUAUUCCCACGGCGAUAUAUGACCAUUUUGUGUUGAUUCGCCAUAAAACCCAACAUACUCACUGUAACUAUUCCGAAGGUGUUAUAUACCAUGUUUACGGGCAAGAAGAAAAAAAAGCAACUUGAUUUACAAAAGGGGUUAUUUUUAUACUAACAUUCAAACAGGUUAAAUUAUUCUAUUCAAAGCUUUCUGCAGAAUAUUAGUUAGGAAUGCAGUUAUUGUCAUAUUUACACAAUAAAUAGAUAUUCCACUGUUCUCUGUUUCAUUGUAAUUACGGUAUUUCAGUACUACAAAUAUCGCUUUUUUAAGGAAAGCCCAUCAUUUCAGUCUAAUAUCAGCGCUAGACAUGAACUAGCGCAUGUCCGAUCCUGUGAAUAGCACGAAAAUUAGUACUCCGCUAAUAUUAAUACAUUUACAGUAUGUAUCCUGUUUUUUUCAAUGCGUAUCAGUACGGGUAGGUUUGAUUUUAAUUGCGUUUUUCGUAAAUUUCAAAAUGUAUAUACGCCAAUACGCAUCUUAUCUGGAGUUCUGAUGCCUUUUCACUGUCUCAGGCAUUACUAAAUUGAUUUGAUUCAGACUGUAUGUUGUUGUUCCACCUUAUCACCACAUCAUUUGAAUUAAAGUCCAGAACUCUGGUACCAAUAUUUCAUGAAUUAUCCCAUCCACCCUCCUCCCUUUUACCUUGAAUUUUAGGUUAAAGUCUCGAUACAAUUUCUCUAUCUCUGUUACUUAUAAAUGGAUUUGAUUCAAACUUAAAGUAGUUGUUCCACCUCAUCACGCAUAUCCAUAUGACACAAAGGUCCAUUGUUUCUGAUUUAUAUGGACCAGUAUUUCAUGAAAUAUGCCCCCCUUUUACUGAGAAUUUCAGGUUAAUUUUGAUGCAUUUUCACUACGUCUCAGUUAUUACUAAAAGGAAUUGAUUCAAACUGGAAGUUGUUAUUACAAUCAUCUCCCACAUAAUAUGUCACAAGGUGCAAAAAUCACUCUUGCGCCAAUAUUUCAUGAUUAUCCCCCUUGUUGCUUAGAAUUAUAUUUAUGUAAUGUUUUGAGACACUUUAUCUUUACAUCUCUUAUUACUUAAUACUUUUGACUCAGACUCGAGCUACUGUCCAAUAUCUUUGUGGAGUCAUUAAACAGUUCCAACUUCCUCAGAUGCGGCCAGUUUCACUAUCCAUGCAGCAUCGAAAUGGCCGAGGGCGCUAUUUCCUGUGACUGCUCUAGUUCUUCAUUAGUUUAAAGUCUUUUUCAGUUCAACUGAGCACAAAGUGCUCAUUGUGAGCUUUAAGGAUCAUUGGUGGUCUGUCAUCCAUAUAUCAUCCAAAAUGUCUCUAUCUCCUUUUAACCAUUAUAUGCCUAUUUCAAACAAACUUCACAGGAUUGUUUCUUUGUUUUGGAGGUCUUAUUUCAGAUUUCAAGACUAUCAUAGCAGAAUUCUUCUUGUGAUGGCAACUAAAAGGAGAAACAUUAUAAUAUUCUUCCCAGAAGACAUUUAAAAAAAAAAAAAUAGGUCCAGGCUAAUGUUCUUAGUGUAGUUAUAUGGAAAACUUUGGAAGAUCUUUUCUGAAAUUGCUUGUCCAGUUUUAAAGUAAUUACACAGCAGUUUUGCAUUAAAAAAUGUAGAGUGGGGAAGGGGGUAGGUUAGUUUUCCCAGUAUUGAUGUAUAGAAAACUUUGAAAAUCUUCAGCUUUGAAACAUCUGGCUUGAUUUGAAAAUAAUUUCAAAGCAAUGUUCUUUGUAUGGCCAUUCACCAAAUUCCUUCAGAUAAUUUUUUUCAUUAAAGCUCAUGACUGCUAGGAGGUGGUUAAAGUUUUUCGGCAAAUUUUGUUUUUCUGUUACUAUUGCUUAUAUCUUACUUGAACUUCACAUUAACAUUGUUCAGCAUGCAAACAAGGUAUGUGCAGAGGAAAUAGGAACAAGAUCACAGUUACUUGCCCUUGGUUGACCACAAUAAGAAAGUGGUAACAUAGAAAAUAGUUCCUCCGAUGGUGUAUACAAAAAUGCAUUGGUGAAUUUGUGAAUGAAAGACCUGCAAUAAAUGAAUAGCAUAUUUUAAUAGAGGCGAUAUAGAAUAGGCACAUGUACAAUUUGACUGAAUGAGAAUGUCAGAAUAUGCAUAACAUGACUUUUUGAUAACGCCAGUUUUGCCUGUUUGCGACCAUCUAGAGAGUAUUCUUCAUACGCUUGUGAUUUGGUUCAAAACGGAAAAGCGGGAUGCGCAGGCUGGUCAGGAUCCAUGCUGUUUGCUUUUAAAGCCUAUUGCAAUUAGAGAAACCAUUAGCGAACAGCAUGGAUUCUGACCAGACUGCACGGAUGCGCAGGCUGGUCUGGAUCCAUGCUGGUCGCAAAGCCACUAUGUUGGUUUUCCAAUGGCACGGCUCAUAUAUAUUUCUAUUCUUGUUUACAUUAAAUUGCUCUUUUGGAUACUUGAAUUUACACAGUACACACAGUCUGAAUAAAGAAAUAUGUGUAAUCAUAAUCCGUGCAAGAAAAAGCAGUUUACGGACUUGAAAUUGAACAGAUCAGGCCUGAAAUUGGCAUAUUUCAAUAGAUUUUGAAGGAAAACAGGCAGAUUUUCACACACUAGACUUGAAUAUUGGUUUCCUUAAAUGCUACAGUGAGCAUAAAUCAUCAUAUUUGAGGUCCUAAAUUGUAUUUUUACUUAUUUUGUCGGAUUUCUUAUA